rnacentral:lncRNA from 1 species
CCAGUUCAUGUAACUUGUUUUCUACAUACUCUCCUUGUCCUCAUAAGAUAGAGAUUAAAAUUGUUAAUGGAUCUUUGUUGACUGUUGCAGGAACAUGGUGAUGGGGGAAAGCCUUUUAAAGUUUAUUCAAGGAAGAAAGGGAAGACCUAAGUAAACUUUAAGUAGAAUUAAUAUUAAUUAGAAUUGAAUAGGGAUUGGUAUUUGUUGGAGUCUAAUUAGGAUUAGCUAGUUGAGUUAUAAUAUAAUUAGAAUUUGAGUCAUGAUAGGUUAUUAGAGUCCUAGUAGACUUUGGAUUUCUUAGAGAAGCCUAUAAAUAGGUUAAUCAAUGUAAAUCAAAGGAAUGAAUUUGAUGAAUAAUAUUAUACUUUCUUUCAUUGCAAGGUUGCAACCCUCAAUGGUGAGACUCCAUUGAUUUCUUCUAGGUGAGACUCUUAGAAGGCCUUAGUGAUACUCUAAGGUUUUUUCAUAUUUUCUUCAUUGUUUCUUCUUUCUCUCUAUUUCUUAUAUUAUAAUUUUCUCUACCAUAAAAUUUAUUCCUUGUUCCUCUCCUUACACCCUAAAAAUAAAACCCUAGCCCACCUACCCUUGAGUGUAGGCAACCAUCCUAGGGUUGUCCUACAUCACAUGGAUUUGCCUCCAAUAUUUGAGAAGUCUUUUAAAACCAAAGGUAUGUAAACUAAAAGGUAACUGGACUUGAAGAACACAUGUUUUAAUGGUGAGCUGGAGUAGGUGUAUAUAGAUUUACCUCAUGUAUUAAAGAAGUCUUUUAAAAAUGAGAAGGUAUGUAAACUAAAAGGAUGCCUUUACAGGUUGAGGCA